GACACAUCAAUUGGUAGUUUUUAUUGUGACACAAACCAUACAAUCUGGUGUGAAAAUAUUGCACAUUUGGAGCACAACAUCAGAAUUCAAAGAUAUAUAAAUGAAAAUAAAAAUACUCUCACUCAUUUAUCAAAUCUCAUAUUCUUAUACUCAUAAUCAUACAAAUGUUAAAAGUCAUAAAAUAUUUAUAGAAUAAUUACAAAAUGAGCACUUUUAAACAAGAUAGCCGGUGUACCAUUAUAAACAGCAGUUCUACCUAAUACCAUUUUACAAUACUUCAGUUGUCACUCUGAACAUUGUCUUAGUAGAUUUAUUCCCUGUAACUUAAUGUUGACGUUUAAACCACAGCACACAAUCUACAUUACAACCACUAUACACGGACAUGUCCUUACACCUACUUCUGAUGAUGAGAACUUUCCUUUCAAACGAUCACAAAAGUAUUCUCAAAAUAAACAUCUAAACAGGCAUUGCUAUCUUUCUGGAUGUUUCAGGGAUAUUCCUUUUCUGUGUAAAUUGGGGGUUGAUUUGCUGUUCGUAGUAAAGGAAUCUCUUAUUACAAGUAACAUCUCCUCGAUCAUGUAAAGAAAGAACCAACAUCAAAAAAUGUUUGUACAGACACACGUAAAAUGGCAACGGACCAAUACAAUACAGCAGAAUUAAUUCAAAAGUAGCCUUUAAACAAUGAAGCACAUGUACAAGGGGACAUAUCUAAAUGUGUGACUAAGUAUAGUAUCCUCUGAAUCUUUGGUAUCAUUUUCAUUCAUUCCUAUUCAGUACCUACUGUAUAUAACUCUAUACAUUUUGUGCAUAUAUACCGUAUAUAACUCUGAAGUCCUCAACAGCAGACAGUCUGAUGCAUAGAAAAUGUCGUGCUAAACAUGUGUCAUUCACACACCAAAAAAUGGUAUGCAGAUUAAAAUCCUCAUUUAACAAAAGCAAAAAUCAAUCACUCUUGUUUCUCUUAAAUGACUGUAAAUUAAUCAAUAGUAUUUAUUCAAGUUUAUGAAAUGAAUAUAUUCAAAUUUAUUAAAUAUAACUUGUUCUUGAAAAUUAAUGGCAAAAAUCUUAACAAUGUAUGUGUUAAGUUGAAGUGAUCUGGCCACAACUUAAUUAAUAUUCCUGAACGUUUUAAUGUUAAGGAAUUUUUUCAACUAAAAUUUUCCAUAGAAAAGCACUAAAAAAAUUUAAAAAAUUUAAGGAAAUGUCCUUAACAAAGAUUUCUUUGUUAAAUCUAAUGAUGAUGAAACAGUGGCAAGAUGUUGUAUAUCCUCUACACAUCUAAACACCUCCAUCUUUGAGAUUACUGGUCAUGUUUACACAAAUAAAAAGCUGUCCUCUAACAAGCUAGCUACAUUUAAUUGUAAGAACAUACAGGUGUAAGACUGGUGUAUAUAGGACAGGUCUGUAUAUACAGGUGUAAGAACUGGUGUAUGUAGGACAGUUCUGUAUAUACAGGUGUAAGAACUGGUGUAUGUAGGACAGUUCUGUAUAUACAGGUGUAAGAACUGGUGUAUGUAGGACAGGUCUGUAUAUACAGGUGUAAGAACUGGUGUAUGUAGGACAGGUCUGUAUAUACAGGUGUAAGAACUGGUAUAUGUAGGACAGGUCUGUACAUACAGGUGUAAGAACUGGUGUAUGUAGGACAGGUCUGUAGAAUUAACUGGUGUAUGUAGGACAGUUCUGUAUAUACAGGUGUAAGAACUGGUGUAUGUAGGACAGUUCUGUAUAUACAGGUGUAAGAACUGGUGUAUGUAGGACAGGUCUGUACAUACAGGUGUAAGAACUGGUGUAUGUAGGACAGAUCUGUAUAUACAGGUGUAAGAACUAGUGUAUGUAGGACAGGUCUGUAUAUACAGGUGUAAGAACUAGUGUAUGUAGGACAGAUCUGUAUAUACAGGUGUAAGAACUAGUGUAUGUAGGACAGAUCUGUAUAUACAGGUGUAAGAACAGAUGUAAUAUAGACAGGUCUGUACAUACAGUUGUAAGACUGGUGUAUGUAGGACAGGUCUGUACAAACAGGUGUAAGAACUGGUGUAUGUAGGACAGGUCUGUACAUACAGGUGUAAGACUGGUGUAUGUAGGACUGAUCUGUACAUACAGGUGUAAGACUGGUGUAUGUAGGACAGGUUUGUACAAACAGGUGUAAGAACUGGUGUAUGUAGGACAGAUCUGUAUAUACAGGUGUAAGAACUGGUGUAUGUAGGACAGGUCUAUAUAUACAGGUGUAAGAACUGGUGUAUGUAGGACAGUUCUGUAUAUACAGGUGUAAGAUUAGUGUAUGUAGGACAGGUCUGUACAUACAGGUGUAAGACUUGUGUACGUAGGACAGAUCUGUACAUACAGGUGUAAGAUUAGUGUAUGUAGGACAGAUCUGUAUAUACAGGUGUAAGAUUAGUGUAUGUAGGGCAGGUCUGUACAUACAGGUGUAAGACUUGUGUAUGUAGGACAGAUAUGUACAUACAGGU